rnacentral:tRNA from 1 species
GGGAAUAAAAUUCUAUUGGUUGAAUACUUGCUUUGCAUGUGAGUUGUUACUAGUUCAAAUCUAGUUGUUUCCA